rnacentral:tRNA from 1 species
UGGCUCAGUUGGUAGAGCAUGGCGUUUCCACGCCAGGGUUGUGGGUUCAAUUCCCAC